GUAUCCCCUUGAUAAUAAUGAGCGAGAGCUUGAAGCUAAAUGUGACGCUGGAAAAGACAGAUGCAGACCGAUCUAUGAGAAGGACGGAUCAGUAUCAUCAGUUGAAAUGAGGGUAAGCGUGCAGAUUCCUAAAGAGGAGUACAGGCUUGGAGACAUCUCCCUUGUUGGUGAUACCGAUGGAAAUAUCAUAGUUGAGACUACCAGGCUGCCGAGGUAUUUGAAGGCUGGUGAUCAAUUGUUGCAGAUAAGUAACAUCGACGUUACGAACACGGGGAAGGA